UACGUAGGGUGCAAGCGUUGUCCGGAAUUAUUGGGCGUAAAGAGCUCGUAGGCGGUCUGUCACGUCGGCUGUGAAAUCCCGAGGCUCAACCUCGGGUCUGCAGUCGAUACGGGCAAACUAGAGUAUUGCAGGGGAGACUGGAAAUUCCUGGUGUAGCGGUGAAAUGCGCAGAUAUCAGGAGGAACACCGGUGGCGAAGGCGGGUCUCUGGGCAAUAACUGACGCUGGAGGAGCGAAAGCGUGGGGAGCGAACAGG
rnacentral:rRNA from 1 species